AGUUGUACGUUAAAUCAUUUGCAAAUUAUUCAUCAGAUUUAUUCAUAAACAGGUGUCUAUUAAAAUAUAGUUUUUAAAUCAAUAAAAACCAACACGAACAUGCUUUUUAAUUUAUCGUUUUGUUAACUAGUUUAGACAUGACGUCGAUGCAUAUUUUACUAUUGUUCCUUAUAGUUACUAUAAACAGCAUUAUCGCGUUAUAUGGAAGGUUUACUUAUACGUACGGUAAGAAUUCAAGCUAUCAUAGUAUUUAUCACCAAGAGAUUAUAUAACCGUGACAAUAAGAAAAUCACAAAAGACAUUUUUUUCGAACAGUCGGAGUUUAAGAUUAAGUUUGAGCGGAUUACAUUACUAUAGGUAUUUUCGGUAAGUCUACAAGCAGUGGCGGCUCCUGAGGUUCACAUAAGGUGGUACACAAAUAAUUUGUAUGAUGGUUGUGUAGAGUUUAUAUUUAGUUGAAAGGAAACUAAGUUGUUGAAUAUUGACAGUUACAAGUUUUGAUUCCAAAAGAACCUUGCAAAGGAUAACACACAGAGAUGAUUAUCAACAAAAGGAAAAUAUAAAGCUUAUAUGACAUUGAAUGGAGAUUGUUUACGUGAAGAAGUCUUAAGCCUGUACAAUUGAAAAGGAAAAUGCCCAUAAUUAAACGGGAAUCAAUUCGACUCAACUUAAUAAAAUACCCUUUUCAAACGGGAACCAUUUUGGUACCAGCCGAAAAACCUAAUCUACUUGACUUAAUAACAUUUUUGUAUAAGAAAAAUCUCAUAGAAAUUGUUAUAAAUGGGUAAAAAAUCAAUUCCCAAUAAAUAUAAAUAUAACUGAUAAUUUGUGUUCAAUUUAUUAAACAUCUCAAAACAAUUAUUGCAUUGGACUUAUAUUCCUAUUAACCAUUUCCAAACGCGAUCUGAUUACUCAAUGGUAUUCAUAUGAAAAAUGUUAACAAUUU